rnacentral:rRNA from 1 species
CACACCGCCCGUCACACCAUGGAAGUUAAUUGCACCAGAAGCAGGUAGCCUGACCGCAAGGGGGGCGCCUACCACGGUGUGAUUAAUGACUGGGGUG